AGUCGCCAAUCCGGGUUUUCGAUUGGUACACAUUACAGAAUUUGUAUGGGUGAACCUCCUUUGAUGAACCAAGUGUGGUGAGUUCUAGAGAGAGAAAUAUACGAUUUUCAGUUCAUUUCUAGAGAGAGAAAGAUACCAUUUCAGGUCAGAGAGAGAGUAUAAAAGUAUAAAAUAGCGAUUUCAAUGUAUGGAGUGACCCUGCUCUGAUAAACCAGUAGUGAUUUUAGAGAGAGAAAGGAUGCCAAAGAGGACGACACACACUUACUCAAGCGAGGAUGCCGCACCCGAUGGUCCCCAAUCCGACCUCUUCGUCUACUACUGCAAGCACUGCGGAACCCACGUCCUCAUCACAGAUACUCAACUGCAGAGAAUGCCUAGAAGGAAGACAGACAAGGCUUACGUAUUGGACAAGAAGAAACAUGUAACAAGACUGAAAACUAACGAAGCGGGAAAAUUUCUUCUAAAACGAGGAGAAGGAAAACUCGAGAAACAGUUUCGUAUGACCUGUAAGGAGUGUGGGCUUCUUGUGUGUUAUCGCUCAGAGGAAGGCCUGGAUGCUGCUCCUUUCAUUUACAUCGUUGAUGGUGCCCUUAGCUCUGUUGCAGCGGAAACAAACCCUCAGGAUGCCCCUGUGCCGCCAUGUAUUUCACAACUGGAAGGUGGCCUUGUCCAAGUGGCGAUAGAAGUUGAAGACCGCGCGCAACGUUCAGCCAUUACUAGAGUGAAUGCCGAUGAUGUGCGAGUGACUGUUGCAGCACCAGCAGCACGAGGGGAAGCUAACAGUGAGCUGUUGGAGUUCAUGGGCAAGGUGUUAGGCUUAAGGUUGACACAGAUGACACUUCAGAGGGGCUGGAAUAACAAAUCAAAGCUGCUUGUGUGUCCGAAAAACCAGCCAAGUUGACACAGACUUAGCGGAGUAACACGGCCUCGCAGAUGGCUGAGGCGACUAAUGUGUACAUUAUCAGAGGAUGGGGCUACCUGUAAGUACUUAGAUAGAAGAUUUGUCUGCAAGAGAGGUGUAUGAGAAGCUGUUGGAAGCUGUCCAGCCGUAGAUUGGUAAAUGACCAAAAUGCCCCAAUUGUUCUGAAAAAACCUGGAUGCACCAUUGGCGUAUCGUUAUAUUCUCACUGCAAGAGAAGUGAGUUCGAUGCCCUUGGGAUUCUUAUUCUUCUAAGACAGAGAAAGAGCACUGUUGUGAAUGACUGAUAAUUUGCUUUGCUGCCAACUUCCUUUACAUUUUUACCAUGGUGUUGAAUUAUUUAACACAAAAGUGCCCCUUACUGCAACCUCCUUGGCAUUUGAAGAAGACCCUUUCAAGAAAUUCUACUUUGGGUGCAGGGUGAUUUUGGUCAUUUUGUUGAAUAGCAUUAGGUUGAGCAAGACCCUUGUUUUUUUACUGGUAUGCUUUUGAAAGGAUUAUGAUUAUGGAUACAAUAAUAAUUGUGGCCUUGUGGGUUUUUGACAUACUCCACUAGGGUGUCAUUGCUUUAAUAUAUGAAUGAAUGUCAUCAAGUUUGGAUAGAAA